UGGUGACUAUAGCAAGGAGGUCACACCUGUUCCCAUACCGAACACAGAAGUUAAGCUCCUUAGCGUCGAUGGUAGUCGAACUUACGUUCCGCUAGAGUAGAACGUUUCCAGGCA
rnacentral:rRNA from 1 species